UAGUCCUAUCCAUAAGGCUGGUGUUCAAGGCUCACAUACUGAGGUUGUCAUUUCUCUUUUCAGUCUCCUUUAGACCCAUCCCUGGAAGCAGUUUCCUCCCCAAAGCAUAAACAGCACUUCAAAGGGGCAGCUGACCCAGUCCAUACGUCUGACCAUGCAGAUCUGCUGGGGGAGGCCAAGAAGACUCUGCAGACAGAGGAUGUGUGUUAUCCCCUGGCAACACUACCACCAUCUAGUGGAUUGGAUUCUCCUAGUGUUCAGUUCAGAGAAUUGGAUGCUCACCAGUCAGCAGGCAGGGUGCCAAAGGGAGAAGCUCAGGGCGAACUCAACCAAAGGGAGACUUUGCUGACAGAAGAUUUGGAUGAGAAAUUCAUGCAGCUGGAGAAGGAAAAAAGUCAACAGAUUCUGAUGAGUAUUGAGCAGAGCUUGUUGCAGAAUCCUCCAAUGGUUAGGCUGGAAGAAAAUGUGAUGAAACUUAAGAAAGAGCUCAGUGAAAUGGAAAUGGCAAAUCAAAUCAUGAAAACUCAGCUGAGGAAAGUCAUCCACAUCCAUCUUGUGGAUUUUAGAGAAUCUGUUACGAAGAUGAUGGGCUUUAACAUCAAAAUUCCAGACAAGGAAAUCACUAAUCAAUUCUGGCCCCCCAUCAAUCCUUAUGGAAUUAAUUACGUCUAAAGGCAGAUCAAAAUUACUGUUGCUUGUAAGACUGGCCAAGAGAACCAAUGACACAAAAGACAUUUGGCGCUUUUUUUCUUCACUGUCACCAACCAGACUUCAUUUGUUUUCUGUAAUUUUUGUAUAUAAGAUGUUAGAAAAUAGAUAAUGAAUAAAAUAUAUUUGGCAUUUUCA
rnacentral:lncRNA from 1 species